rnacentral:rRNA from 1 species
AGCAGUGGGGAAUCUUAGACAAUGGGCGCAAGCCUGAUCUAGCGAUGCCGCGUGAGUGACGAAGGCCUUAGGGUCGUAAAGCUCUUUCGCCAGGGAUGAUAAUGACAGUACCUGGUAAAGAAACCCCGGCUAACUCCGUGCCAGCAGCCGCGGUAAUACGGAGGGGGUUAGCGUUGUUCGGAAUUACUGGGCGUAAAGCGCACGUAGGCGGACCAUCAAGUUGGGGGUGAAAUCCCGGGGCUCAACCCCGGAACUGCCUCCAAAACUGCUGGUCUUGAGUUCGAGAGAGGUGAGUGGAAUUCCGAGUGUAGAGGUGAAAUUCGUAGAUAUUCGGAGGAACCCCAGUGGCGAAGGCGGCUCACUGGCUCGAUACUGACGCUGAGGUGCGAAAGCGUGGGGAGCANACAGGAUUAGAUNCCCUGGUAGUCCACGCCGUAAACGAUGAAUGCCAGACGUCAGGGGGCUUGCCCUUGGUG